GACGAACGCUGGCGGCGUGCCUAAUACAUGCAAGUCGAGCGAACCAAUAGGAGCUUGCUCCUAUUGGUUAGCGGCGGACGGGUGAGUAACACGUGGGCAACCUGCCUGUAAGACUGGGAUAACACCGGGAAACCGGUGCUAAUACCGGAUAAUCCUUUCCCUCUCAUGAGGGGAAGUUGAAAGUCGGUUUCGGCUGACACUUACAGAUGGGCCCGCGGCGCAUUAGCUAGUUGGUGAGGUAACGGCUCACCAAGGCGACGAUGCGUAGCCGACCGGAGAGGGGGAUCGGCCACACUGGGACUGAGACACGGCCCAGACUCCUACGGGAGGCAGCAGUAGGGAAUCUUCCACAAUGGACGAAAGGCUGAUGGAGCAACGCCGCGUGAGCGAUGAAGGCCUUCGGGUCGUAAAGCUCUGUUGUUAGGGAAGAACAAGUAUCGGAGUAACUGCCGGUACCUUGACGGUACCUAACCAGAAAGCCACGGCUAACCACGUGCCAGCCGCCGCCGUAAGAC
rnacentral:rRNA from 1 species